ACGGCCUGAUGAUGUACUCUUUUCGAGUACUAGGCUAUUAAGACAUUAACUAGAUCUAUGCAUCUCAUGCAACAUAACAAUUAUGUUAAAUUUUAUACACUUAAUUAAGUCACUAAUUUUUAAUCUUUUAAUCUUAAGUUUCAGAUCUAAUCAUAGCUUUUAAAUUAAAUAUAAAAAUCAAUCCUAAUUAAAGCAUAAAAAUUGGAUCUAAUUUAAAACAUACCG
rnacentral:lncRNA from 1 species